rnacentral:tRNA from 1 species
GGCCCCGUAACCCAGCCAGGAUGUGUUCUGAGAGGGUACCGGCCUCCUAAGCCGGGUGUCGGGGGUUCGAAUCCCCUCGGGGCCG